rnacentral:tRNA from 1 species
ACAAAUAGUAGCUCGCGUGGCGUAAUGGCAACGCGUCUGACUUCUAAUCAGAAGAUUAUGGGUUCGACCCCCAUCGUGAGUGCUUUGUUUCUUCCGUGAUAGUUUAAUGGUCAGAAUGGGCGCUUGUCGCGUGCCAGAUCGGGGUUCAAUUCCCCGUCGCGGAGAUUUUU